UGGGGAAUUUUGGACAAUGGGCGCAAGCCUGAUCCAGCCAUGCCGCGUGCGGGAAGAAGGCCUUCGGGUUGUAAACCGCUUUUGUCAGGGAAGAAACGGCUCUUGAUAAUACCGAGAGCUAAUGACGGUACCUGAAGAAUAAGCACCGGCUAACUACGUGCCAGCAGCCGCGGUAAUACGUAGGGUGCAAGCGUUAAUCGGAAUUACUGGGCGUAAAGCGUGCGCAGGCGGCUAUGCAAGACAGAUGUGAAAUCCCCGGGCUCAACCUGGGAACUGCAUUUGUGACUGCAUGGCUAGAGUGCGGCAGAGGGGGAUGGAAUUCCGCGUGUAGCAGUGAAAUGCGUAGAUAUGCGGAGGAACACCGAUGGCGAAGGCAAUCCCCUGGGCCUGCACUGACGCUCAUGCACGAAAGCGUGGGGAGCAAACAGG
rnacentral:rRNA from 1 species